CGAAUACUCCCGCCCGGCGACCGGCGCACGGGUGCGUAACGCGUAUGCAACCUACCUUUAACAGGGCAUAACACUGAGAAAUUGGUACUAAUUCCCCAUAACAUUCGAGAAGGCAUCUUCUUGGGUUAAAAACUCCGGUGGUUAAAGAUGGGCAUGCGUUGUAUUAGCUAGUUGGUGAGGUAACGGCUCACCAAGGCAACGAUACAUAGGGGGACUGAGAGGUUAACCCCCCACAUUGGUACUGAGACACGGACCAA
rnacentral:rRNA from 1 species